rnacentral:lncRNA from 8 species
AUGUCGUUGUUCGUCCCUGAUAUGGCUGGUCAUCUGUUUUUGGUCAUCCUCCUUUUCGUCACCUUCCAACACAUCGAAGCCCAAGGUCAUUAUCCAAAACCAGACAUUACAGUCCAAUUUUAUGAGGACUUCACCAUCAUCUGUUUGAUUCCUGGAUCCGUCAGUCCUGACACCACCUGUAACCUGUAUGUUGGAGAGGAGAGUCAGCCAUCCUUCACAGCAAAGAUCAAGAAGAGAAAAGCCACCUCAGCAGCCGGAGAGCAGUUCUGUCAAUUCACUCCAAAUCAUAGUGAUCUGAUCAGUGGUCUACAGUCAGUGAGGAGUAAGGAGGUGAGCUGUGACUACGGAGUGAGCUCAGGACCAAACUCUCUCUCUCCACGCAGUGAUGGGAAAAGCUUUGCACAUCUGGUGGGAGUUCACAUUAGUGAUCCAACAACUAAACACUUUCCAGCAGCAGGUUCGACUGUUAGUUCUACUUUGACCCCCAACACUCCAGUGAGACCAACUACCUAUAGGCCCACUAAAUGUUUGACCUCUCCUUUGACCCCCAGUACAGCACUGAAUCCAUCAUCAGGUUCGACUCUUAGUUCUACUCUGACCACUGACACUCCAAGUAAAGGUCAAAGCUCAACAGACAUUGUUGUGAAUUCAAACAGUCAAGAAAGUGUUCCAUGUGUGUGUCUUUCUCUAGCUACCUACCUGUCUUUUUUACACAACUGA